rnacentral:rRNA from 1 species
AUACGUAGGGGGCGAGCGUUGUCCGGAAUGAUUGGGCGUAAAGGGCGCGUAGGCGGCGCGGUAAGUCUGGAGUGAAAGUCCUGCUUUCAAGGUGGAAUUGCUUUGGAUACUGCCGCGCUUGAGUGCAGGAGAGGUUAUCGGAAUUCCCGGUGUAGCGGUGAAAUGCGUAGAGAUCGGGAGGAACACCAGUGGCGAAGGCGGGUAACUGGACUGCAACUGACGCUGAGGCGCGAAAGUGUGGGGAGCAAACAGGAUUAGAUACCCUGGUAGUCCACACUGUAAACGAUGAAUGCUAGGUGUAAGAGGUAUCGACCCCUUUUGUGCCGGAGUCAACACAAUAGGCAUUCCGCCUGGGGAGUACGGCCGCAAGGUUGAAACUCAAAUGAAUUGACGGGG